rnacentral:rRNA from 1 species
UGGGGAAUAUUGGACAAUGGGCGAAAGCCUGAUCCAGCCAUGCCGCGUGUGUGAAGAAGGUCUUCGGAUUGUAAAGCACUUUAAGUUGGGAGGAAGGGCAGUAAGCGAAUACCUUGCUGUUUUGACGUUACCGACAGAAUAAGCACCGGCUAACUCUGUGCCAGCAGCCGCGGUAAUACAGAGGGUGCAAGCGUUAAUCGGAAUUACUGGGCGUAAAGCGCGCGUAGGUGGUUCGUUAAGUUGAAUGUGAAAGCCCCGGGCUCAACCUGGGAACUGCAUCCCAAACUGGCGAGCUAGAGUACGACAGAGGGUGGUGGAAUUUCCUGUGUAGCGGUGAAAUGCGUAGAUAUAGGAAGGAACACCCGUGGCGAAGGCGACCACCUGGGCUCAUACUGACACUGAGGUGCGAAAGCGUGGGGAGCAAACAGG